rnacentral:lncRNA from 1 species
GGCAGGCACCAGGCUGUCUUCAGAUAUUUCAUACAGAAAUGAGCCUCCCCGUGGGGUCUCCUUCCCUCCUUCAGCCCGUCCAUCAACACAGCAUUGCGGGAUCCUUACCAUGGCAUCCAGCCCUGGAGAUGCUUCAGGAAAGUUGCAGGUCCAUGCUGCAGGACAGGCUCAGAUCAGCAGAGACGCAUCUCACAUCGGGCUGUGAAAUUCAAGUUGAGCUGCAAUUGGCAAU